AGGGAGUGCAGACCUGUCGGCUGAAGUUCGGCUGGAGUGUCUGGCGGAGAGGGGUGGUUAGCUACCCAUUUGAGAGGAGCCCGGAGUCCGGCUCUCGUAAGAGUCCGGACGAAGUCUUCCUUCAACCGAAGUUGGGGACGAGGUUCGGCUCCCGUGAGAGUGCGGACGGAGUCUUCCCGCAGUCGGAGUCAGAGACGAGGCUCGGCUCCCGUAGGAGUCCGGGCGGAGUCU
rnacentral:lncRNA from 1 species